CUCGUAGGCGGUUCGUCGCGUCCGGUGUGAAAGUCCAUCGCUUAACGGUGGAUCCGCGCCGGGUACGGGCGGGCCUGAGUGCGGUAGGGGAGACUGGAAUUCCCGGUGUAACGGUGGAAUGUGUAGAUAUCGGGAAGAACACCAAUGGCGAAGGCAGGUCUCUGGGCCGUCACUGACGCUGAGGAGCGAAGCGUGGGGAGCGAACA
rnacentral:rRNA from 1 species